GUGAUCAGGCUCAGUCUCCAUCCAAAAGCCAGGGCCAAGCUCAGUCUCCAUCAGGUAAUAAUAACCAGGCUCAAUCUCCUCAGGGCCAGCAGUCUCAAUCUCCUCAGGGCCAGCAAGGUCAGCAGGGUCAGGCUCCCCAGCAGUCUCCUCCUCCUUCCCAGCAGUCUCAGUCUCCCCAGUCUCAGUCUCCUCCUCCCCAGCAAUCUUCUCAGUCUCCUUCUCCCAGCAGCCAGUCUCCACCACCCUCUCAGCACUCUCAGUCUCCAAGCCCCUCCAGCAAGCCUCCCACCUCCUCCUCCUCCUCCUCCUCCUCCUCCUCCUCCUCCUCAUCCCCACCAACCUCCUCCCCCGCCUCCUCCCCCAAACACUCAUCUUCCGACUCUUCUUCCACCUCAUCCCCCACCAGCUCCUCCCCACCGGCUCCCCCAACCUCCGAGACUGCCGCCGCCCCAGCUGGCUCCCCAACCGCUACCGCCGCCUCUCCCGGACCAGCAUCCGCUGCCACCCGCGUCUACGCUGCGGGAUCUGUGGCAGCCGUCGCCGUCGCUGCAUGGCUCUUGCACUAAAUGGAGGAGGACGUAAGAUGACGUCAUGGUUCGGUUUGGUUUAUUUUUGGCGCACUCAUCAGAGACGAUCGCGGUUUAGGGUUUUAGAAUAACUUGUUUAAUAUUUAUUUAUUAUAUUCCUGAACAGAAUUUAUAAUUCCGGGUGAUAUUGAUGGGACUGUGGUGAUUUGGUUGUACGGUGGAGGAUGUUGAUAUUGUUUGAUUAUUAUUAUUAUAAGCCGCUUUGUUAUUGAUUAUAAAUUAAUAUUACUGCGGAUUUAUGGAUUUAAUUGAUUUGAUUAAUGAAGAUUUGAUUUAAGUUUUUUUUUUUUUUUUUUUUUUCAUUCUCGAUGAAAUCGAUUUGAUUAAGGUUGUGAGGUGGUUUAUGUAGUUUUUUGAUUUGAUGUGGCCAGUUGAGUACGGAAACGCUUCA
rnacentral:lncRNA from 1 species